rnacentral:ncRNA from 1 species
CGGAAAUAGAGUGGCAGCUCGGUAGCUCCUACGCCCGCUAACAACGGGUUCUUCCCAGCCACGG